CUGUCUCAGUUCGGAUUGGAGGCUGAAACCCGCCUCCAUGAAGUUGGAUUCGCUAGUAAUCGCGCAUCAGCCAUGGCGCGGUGAAUACGUUCCCGGGCCUUGUACACACCGCCCGUCAAGCCAUGGGAGCCGGGGGUGCCUGAAGUUCGUGACCGCAAGGAGCGACCUAGGGCAAAACUGGUGACUGGGGCUAAGUCGUAACAAGGUAUC
rnacentral:rRNA from 1 species